rnacentral:rRNA from 1 species
CGUGCAGGCGGUGCGGUAAGUUGGAUGUGAAAGCUCCCGGCUCAACUGGGAGAGGUCGUUCAAUACUGCCGCACUAGAGGACGGUAGAGGGAGGUGGAAUUCCCGGUGUAGUGGUGAAAUGCGUAGAUAUCGGGAGGAACACCAGUGGCGAAGGCGGCCUCCUGGGCCGUUCCUGACGCUCAGACGCGAAAGCUAGGGGAGCGAACG